GGAGAGGUGGCCGAGCGGCUGAAGGUGCACGCCUGGAAAGCGUGUGUGUGUAACAGCACCGGGGGUUCGAAUCCCCCCCUCUCCGCCA
rnacentral:tRNA from 1 species